rnacentral:rRNA from 1 species
AGAGAUGGAUUGGUGCCUUCGGGAACUCUGACACAGGUGCUGCAUGGCUGUCGUCAGCUCGUGCGUGAGAUGUUGGGUUAAGUCCCGUAACGAGCGCAACCCUGUCCUUAGUUACCAGCACGUUAUGGUGGGCACUCUAAGGAGACUGCCGGUGACAAACCGGAGGAAGGUGGGGAUGACGUCAAGUCAUCAUGGCCCUUACGGCCUGGGCUACACACGUGCUACAAUGGUCGGUACAAAGGGGUUGCCAAGCCGCGAGGUGGAGCUAAUCCCAUAAAACCGAUCGUAGUCCGGAUCGCAGUCUGCAACUCGACUGCGUGAAGUCGGAAUCGCUAGUAAUCGUGAAUCAGAAUGUCACGGUGAAUACGUUCCCGGGCCUU